GACGAACGCUGGCGGCGUGCCUAAUACAUGCAAGUAGAACGCUGAAGAGAGGAGCUUGCUCUUCUUGGAUGAGUUGCGAACGGGUGAGUAACGCGUAGGUAACCUGCCUUGUAGCGGGGGAUAACUAUUGGAAACGAUAGCUAAUACCGCAUAACAAUGGAUGACACAUGUCAUUUAUUUGAAAGGGGCAAUUGCUCCACUACAAGAUGGACCUGCGUUGUAUUAGCUAGUAGGUGAGGUAAUGGCUCACCUAGGCGACGAUACAUAGCCGACCUGAGAGGGGGAUCGCCCACCCUGGGACUGGAAACCGGCCCAGACUCCUACGGGGGGCAGAAGUAGGGAAUCUUCGGAAAUGGGGGCAACCCCGACCGAGCAACCCCGGGGGAGGGAAAAAGGUUUUCGGAUCGUAAAGCUCUGUUGUAAGUCAAGAACGGGUGUGAGGGUGGAAAGUUCCACCUGGGGCGGUAGCUUACCAAAAAGGGACGGCUAACUACGU
rnacentral:rRNA from 1 species